rnacentral:tRNA from 2 species
GGUUCCGUGGCCGAGGGGUUAGGCACCGGUCUGCAAAACCGUUUACACCAGUUCGACUCUGGUCGGAACCU